GAAAGAUUCAGCCAUAAAGAACAGAGUUAUGUCAUUAGCACAAAACAUGUAGUAAUCUGAAAAUUAUCAUUGUAUUAAUUAUUGUUCGCAUUUCUGUGACAAAACAGCAGGACCAAAAUCAGCUUAUGGAGGAAAGAAUUCUAUUUCAGUUUAUGGUCUAGAGGACUAGAACCUGUGAUGGUGGAGGAGGCAUGAAAGCAGCUAGCCAGAGCAAGAAGCUGGACAAUCGCAUCCUCAACCACACACAGGGAGCAGAUGGUGCACUGGAAGCAAGGUGAUGAAGAUGUUGAUAAUGGAGAAGAACGUGUUUCACAUAUGGAUGCAAUUAAAGAUCUUACUGAAGAUUUGAAGAUAUCUCAACCUGGCUCCAUUCCAGAAUUAUCUCUCCUCUCCGAUGUUCC
rnacentral:lncRNA from 1 species